rnacentral:rRNA from 1 species
UAUUGGACAAUGGGCGAAAGCCUGAUCCAGCAAUGCCGCGUGAGUGAUGAAGGCCUUAGGGUUGUAAAGCUCUUUUACCCGGGAUGAUAAUGACAGUACCGGGAGAAUAAGCUCCGGCUAACUCCGUGCCAGCAGCCGCGGUAAUACGGAGGGAGCUAGCGUUGUUCGGAAUUACUGGGCGUAAAGCGCACGUAGGCGGCUUUGUAAGUUAGAGGUGAAAGCCUGGAGCUCAACUCCAGAAUUGCCUUUGAUACUGCAUCGCUUGAAUCCAGGAGAGGUGAGUGGAAUUCCGAGUGUAGAGGUGAAAUUCGUAGAUAUUCGGAAGAACACCAGUGGCGAAGGCGGCUCACUGGUGCUGGUAUUGACGCUGAGGUGCGAAA